rnacentral:rRNA from 1 species
GACGAACGCUGGCGGCGUGCUUAACACAUGCAAGUCGAACGGAAAGGCCCUGCUUUUGUGGGGUGCUCGGUGGGCGAACGGGUGAGUAACACGUGAGUAACCUGCCCUUGUCUUUGGGAUGACUUCAGGAAACUGGGGCUAAUACCGGAUAGGAGCUCCUGCUGCAUGGUGGGGGUUGGAACGUUUAGGCGGUUGGGGCUGGACUCGCGGCUUAUGAGCUUGUUGGUUGGGUAGUGGCUUACCCAGGCUUUGGCGGGUCCCCGGCAGGAGAGGGGGAACGGGCACCUUGGGACUGCGAUACGGACCAGUCUCCUACGGGAGGCAACAGUGGGGAAUAUUGCACAACGGGCCGAAGCCUGAUGAAGCAACGCCGCGUUCGGGAUGACGGCCUUCGGGGUGUAAACCGCUUUCGCCUGUGACGAAGCGUGAGUGACGGUACUGGGUAAAGAAGCACCGGCUAACUACGUG